CAUGAUCCAAGAGUUCAGUAUUGUACAGCACACUGAAUCAUGAUACAAGGCCACCACUAUCGGCCAAAUAUCAAAUUCCUGGACUGUUCCCUGACCUAGACAUGUACAGGUAUUACAUUAACUGCGUAAAGGAGGAGAGCACACUAAUGCACACUAUCCCCACGUGGAGAAGCAUGGCGAAAGGACGACGACUGACAAUUUAUCCAAAGAUUGGAAUUAUUAUUUUGGAAAAAGACGAGGGACUUCUGGUGGAAGAUUCACUCUGUGUGACACGAGGACAAAAACUGGCAGAGAAACACAGGAACACGUCUAACGCGCUCAGUUUCACGACCACCAUUCAGUGCAGUUCAGGGAGAUAAAGCAGUGCUGGAUCAUCAGCCCACAGUCUCAGAGGAUUCAGCCACAGUCUUCACCUGCAUCCAUUUAUUUGUGCUCAGAUGUUUGAGAAUUGCCUUAACACUCACUUGUACUCGAUGUACGAAAUCUGCUGGAAUUCUUCUCCAGUUUCUAGAACAAUACGGACCCCUGCUAUUCAGGCAGCCAUCUUUGAGUAGCGUUUGAGAAAGCCAAUAGAAAGCAACGAUGAUGACGACAUCAUAAGAUUUCUUAAGCUUACUGCUUUGGACCCACACCUUCAGCACAAAUUUGAAGCGGCAACAGGGUCUGGAUCUCCUUAUCAUGCCUAAAAAAAGCUAAUCGUGCCUAAUUAAGAGAAACACUGGCUCACCUUCAACCUCUGAAGCCUGGUCGUCACUGCAGUGGUCUGAUGAUAUCUGAGGGGAGAAGUCAUACACCGCUCUCCUCUUCCUCUUGAUCUGAGGUGAGGGCUGU